GUUAUACAAAUUAUGCAAAUAAAUUUUAUUAGUUUAAGUAAAAUUUAUUUUNAAAAAAUAAAAANUAAUUUUAUUAGGUGAAAUUUUGAAAUUAUUUAAUUUUUAUUUUAAAUUAUUGAAUCUUAAAAAUUUUAUAUAAAAACUAGGAUUAGAUACCCUAUUAUUUAAAAUAAAUUUAUUUAUACUAAAGUAGUAUUAGUUAUGUUCUUGAAAUUUAAAAAAUUUGGCGGUAUUUUAGUCUAUUUAGAGGAAUCUGUUCUAUAAUCGAUAAUCCACGAUGGACCUUACUUAUAUUUGUAUUCAGUUUAUAUACCGUCGUUAUAAGAAUAUUUUUUAAAAAUAAUAAUUUUCAAUAUUUUUUAUAAAAAUUUAUAUCAGAUCAANGGUGUAGCUUAUAUAUAAGAAGAAAUGGAUUACAAUAAAUUUAUUUAUGAAUUUGUAAAUGAAAAUUUAUAAUGAAAUUGGAUUUAAAUGUAAAAUUAUAUAGAUUAAUAAUUUGAU
rnacentral:rRNA from 1 species